ACGUGUGCACUUUCACUCCGCCUGCUCGUGCUCGGCACUGUCCCUCCCUGCUCGGAGGAAACCGCUACUUUCCAUCGUGCCAAGGCAGGCCGGCGGGCCGGGACAAGACAUGCAGCACGUACUACACUACAGCUGGAAGACUUCCUUAUCCUCAGGCGGCAGGGAAAGCUGGCGACGGGAUGUGUGCUGCUCCUUCUCCAUGGAGAUGUGCCCGUCAGCCGACUUCCUCCUCUCGUCCGAGAACCUUCUCACCUGACAAGCCGCUGCUUCACUGCCGCUGCGGGGCCGACACUGCUCUGACCUCCGAGCCGCCUUCAUCACCCACCAAACGGAGACAUCAUGAUCAACAUGGCAUCACAGAGACAAAGUCUCCUCUCGAAUGACUCUGUGAGCUCUGGGAUAGUGGUGAUGCGGUUCUCUGGAAUGGCUGACUUGGGACGGCUGUUGUCGUCUGAGGGGACGCGACGAGC